CGAGCGUUAAUCGGAAUUACUGGGCGUAAAGCGCACGCAGGCGGUUGUAUAAGCCAGAUGUGAAAGCCCCGGGCUUAACCUGGGACGGUCAUUUGGAACUGUACAACUAGAGUCUUGGAGAGGGGAGUGGAAUUCCAGGUGUAGCGGUGAAAUGCGUAGAUAUCUGGAGGAACAUCAGUGGCGAAGGCGACUCCCUGGCCAAAGACUGACGCUCAUGUGCGAAAGUGUGGGUAGCGAACAGGAUUAGAUACCCUGGUAGU
rnacentral:rRNA from 12 species